GAAAUCUGUGCCGUUGAAGACAGACAACACUUUCAUCAUUCUUCUGUCAUUCAUUAGAGCAAGGAAGUUUGUGAAGUUGAAAACAGACAACACAGUCAUCGUUCUUCUGUAAGUAGUUGUCAUUCAUUAGGGCACGGACCAUGGUCAGUGACAUUGAAGACAGACAACACUCAUCGUUCUUCUGUAAGUAUUUGUGCAGAUCAUUCAUUAGGGCACAGUGGUCAGUGCUUUUGAAGACAGAUAACACUGUCAUCAUUCUUCUGUAAGUAUUUGUGUGUAACUCUUUCAGAGUGUUAGUCUUAUGUAAGGUGUAAGUGCAUGCAAUUAAAAACUUCCUUUCUGUAUCUCUUCUUUGUGCAGGUCAUUCAUUAGACCAAGGAAGUCUGUGCUAUUGAAUACAGACAACACUUUCAUCAUUCUUUUGUCAUUCAUUAGGGCAAAGAACUCAUGCCCACUGAGUCACAUGACCAGGAAGCCACACCCGCUGAGUCACAUGACCAGGAAGCCAUGCCCGCCCAGUCACAUGACCAGGAAGCCAUGCCCGCCCAGUCACAUGACCAGGAAGUCAUGCCAACCUAGUCACAUGUCCACAGAACCGGUAAUAAAAAAUUUUGGAACCCACCCCUGAAUGGAUUGUAUUAAGAAAUACAAGGUUAUUGACUUUGGAGGGGCACAAUCUACAAUUAGGUUGGCAUGCUUUUUUAUGGUACGGGAAAAAUAAGAUGCAUAGCUAUUUUCAAAGACAUUAUG